rnacentral:rRNA from 1 species
GACGAACGCUGGCGGCGUGCCUAAUACAUGCAAGUUGAGCGCUGAAGGUUGGUACUUGUACCAACUGGAUGAGCAGCGAACGGGUGAGUAACGCGUGGGGAAUCUGCCUUUGAGCGGGGGACAACAUUUGGAAACGGAUGCUAAUACCGCAUAAAAACUUUAAACACAAGUUUUAAGUUUGAAAGAUGCAAUUGCAUCACUCAAAGAUGAUCCCGCGUUGUAUUAGCUAGUUGGUGAGGUAAAGGCUCACCAAGGCGAUGAUACAUAGCCGACCUGAGAGGGGGAUCGGCCACAUUGGGACUGAGACACGGCCCAAACUCCUACGGGAGGCAGCAGUAGGGAAUCUUCGGCAAUGGACGAAAGUCUGACCGAGCAACGCCGCGUGAGUGAAGAAGGUUUUCGGAUCGUAAAACUCUGUUGGUGGAGAAGAACGUUGGUGAGAGUGGAAAGCUCAUCAAGUGACGGUAACUACCCAGAAAGGGACGGCUAACUACGUG